UGUUCGAGCGUCAUUAUAACCCCUCAAGCUCAGCUUGGUGUUGGGGCCUGCCGUUUGGCAGCCCUUAAAAUCAGUGGCGGUGCAUCUGGCUCUAAGCGUAGUAAUUCUUCUCGCUAUGGAGACCCGAUGGACGCUUGCCAUCAACCCCCCAAUUUUCUAUGGUUGACCUCGGAUCAGGUAGGGAUACCCGCUGAACUUAA
rnacentral:misc_RNA from 1 species